GACGAACGCUGGCGGCGUGCUUAACACAUGCAAGUCGAACGGAAAGGCCCUGCUUUUGUGGGGUGCUCGAGUGGCGAACGGGUGAGUAACACGUGAGUAACCUGCCCUUGACUUUGGGAUAACUUCAGGAAACUGGGGCUAAUACCGGAUAGGAGCUCCUGCUGCAUGGUGGGGGUUGGAAAGUUUCGGCGGUUGGGGAUGGACUCGCGGCUUAUCAGCUUGAUGGUGGGGUAGUGGCUUACCAAGGCUUUGACGGGUAGCCGGCCUGGGAGGGUGACCGGCCACAUUGGGACUGCGAUACGGCCCAGACUCCAACGGGAGGCAGCAGUGGGGAAUAUUGCACAAUGGGCGGAAGCCUGAUGCAGAAACGCCGCGUGCGGGAUGACGGCCUUCGGGUUGUAAACCGCUUUCGCCUGUGACGAAGCGUGAGUGACGGUAAUGGGUAAAGAAGCACCGGCUAACUACGUG
rnacentral:rRNA from 1 species